rnacentral:rRNA from 1 species
UACGUAGGGGGCGAGCGUUGUCCGGAUUUAUUGGGCGUAAAGAGCGUGUAGGCGGCCAAGUAGGUCCGUUGUGAAAACUGGAGGCUUAACCUCCAGCUGGUCGAUGGAAACCAUUUGGCUAGAGUCCGGAAGAGGAGAGUGGAAUUCCUGGUGUAGCGGUGAAAUGCGCAGAUAUCAGGAAGAACACCCGUGGCGAAGGCGGCUCUCUGGGACGGUACUGACGCUGAGACGCGAAAGCGUGGGGAGCGAACAGG